UACGUAGGGGGCUAGCGUUGUCCGGAAUCAUUGGGCGUAAAGAGCGUGUAGGCGGUCCGGUAAGUCCGCUGUGAAAGUCGGGGGCUCAACCCUCGAAUGCCGGUGGAUACUGUCGGGCUAGAGUGCGGAAGAGGCGAGUGGAAUUCCUGGUGUAGCGGUGAAAUGCGCAGAUAUCAAGAGGAACACCUGCGGCGAAGGCGGGUUGCUGGGCCGACACUGACGCUGAGGCGCGAAAGCCAGGGGAGCGAACGGG
rnacentral:rRNA from 1 species